AUUGAACGCUGGCGGCAUGCCUUACACAUGCAAGUCGAACGGCAGCACGGGAGCAAUCCUGGUGGCGAGUGGCGAACGGGUGAGUAAUGUAUCGGAACGUGCCCAGUCGUGGGGGAUAACGUAGUGAUAGCUACGCUAAUACCGCCUACGAUCUAUGGAUGAAAGCGGGGGACCGUAAGGCCUCGCGCGAUUGGAGCGGCCGAUAUCAGAUUAGGUAGUUGGUGGGGUAAAGGCCUACCAAGCCGACGAUCUGUAGCUGGUCUGAGAGGACGACCAGCCACACUGGGACUGAGACACGGCCCAGACUCCUACGGGAGGCAGCAGUGGGGAAUUUUGGACAAUGGGCGCAAGCCUGAUCCAGCAAUGCCGCGUGCAGGAUGAAGGCCUUCGGGUUGUAAACUGCUUUUGUACGGAGCGAAAAGGCUCUCUCUAAUACAGGGGGCUCAUGACGGUACCGUAAGAAUAAGCACCGGCUAACUACGUGCCAGCAGCCGCGGUAA
rnacentral:rRNA from 1 species